AGAAAAAAAAAAAAAAAAAGUCCUGGAACUUCAAAUGGUGGGUUGUUUAUGCAGUACAGUUUCUCUUCCUGAUUUUGGCAUUUCACAAAAAAAAUUACAUUUUUGAAGCUUCAAAGGGAGAAAACUAAAGAGAGGAAGAGGUGAAGCAGAAAAAGGAGACUGUGGAGUCUAGUUUAUUUUCUUAAUAAAUAUAUAUGGAUGAUGUGGAGAAUUAGGGUUAGGCUUUUGGUAUAAGAAUUGUCUCAUCGAAGUUGCUUUAAUUGGUUUUGUAGCAGGCUGUAGGAAAAAGAAAAGCGGCGGAAAGGAUGGAAAAGAUGAGUGUGGGAAGGUCUAUGAGUGUAGGUUUUGUUCCCUCAAGUUCUGUAAAUCUCAAGCUCUAGGAGGACACAUGAACCGCCACCGCCAAGGCAAGUCUUCAAAUAUCUAUUAAAUAUUAACAAAUAUUUAUUAGUAAGAAGUCUAAUAGCUACCUUCUCCUCAAAGAAGCCGGAACAUGUGGACUAUUUUUAUAUGGAGAGAAUCUAAAGUAGUUGUUAAUGAUUUGCCAUGAAGCGUAGUCAUGUCAAUCUUGUUUUUCCCAAGGGAAAAACAAAGUUGGUGCUCGCGGAAAUUCUUGGUGGGGUUUUCUUGAGUUUUUUAUUUGAUUUGAUUUGAAUUGUGUUGCCGUGUUGGUGGUCAGAGAGAGAGACAGAAACACUGAACCGGGCUCGUCAGAUUGUCUUCAGUAACGAAAACCUAGCCGCCCAAGGGGUCCCUCAUCUAGGGUAUGUAUGCCUCGUCCAUGGACUACUGUCCCUUUGAUUCUUCUUCUUCCUCUCCCUCUUCUUCACCUUCUCCUUUUCUUUCGUUUUUGACUUCUUUUCAGCAUUAAAGUAGGAAGAAAUCAAAAUGGCCCAAACACUUUUAAGCUGAAAAAACACCCACUUGAUCUCAUCAACUGUUAAAGCUUUUUCUCUGUGUUUGAGUUCAUCUUUUAACACAGAAUAUAGAGAAAUCAAAUGACUUGGACAUCUUCUGCAACCCAAGAAUAUAUAUGUGCACACCUGAUUUUGGCAAUGUUCAACAAUAUAAAGAUCCGUCUUCUUCAUUUAUAUAACCUUUUUAGUUGAUCGUUUUAGAACAAAAAUAUAGAAACCGACACGACCCUUAACCUGUUUGAAGCUAAAGCUAGAAGAUGACUUGUGGUGAUCUCAUCAAUGGUUUUCAUUAAUAUAAGGAUGGUCUUCUUCCUGUUUUUCUUGGCUGCAGCGGCCAACCCAUCGCACCAGGGAGCUUUCAUCAAACAGGCAACAUGGGAGAUCCAACACUACCCUUCAGAUCAGUCUACCCAACAAGAAUGUUUUCGGGUUCUUCAUCAACACUCUUAACACCACCACCACAACCAUAUCUAUACGCUUCGCCAUCGCGCUUAGUCUCUUAUCCAUCACAGUAUCCUCCACCCUCAAUGAAUGAUUACUAUGUAGGCCACGUCCUCAGCAGCGGCUCACAGUACAGUCAUCCGGGUCUAAAUUACGGAGGUGCUUCAGAUUCAAAUUACACCUGCAUUGGAGCACCAGUGGGACAUGGGUUCCCACCCAGCAAUGGAGGGGGACGGGGGUCCGAAUUGGGUGGAUCAGGAGGAGGAGGAGGAGGAGGAGGUGGUGGUGGUGGUGGUGGUGGUAGGGACGGGUCACUGCAGAAUCAGGAGGAAGGGUUGAAUUGGGGAAGGAGCUAUGCAGGGUCACAGCAACGUAUGGACCCUUCUUUGAUCAAUCGGUUUCAAGAUGGGUUCUAAAGAUUUUUUGAGUGCGAGUGGAAGGUUUAAUCUGCUGUGACACGCCACUUAGAGAGAAAGAGAGGGAGAGGGAGAGAGAAGCAAUAAACUGACAAAUGUGGUCAUGCAAGAAAGAGAAGGAAGUUUUGGUUUUUCUACAGGUAUGGGACAGCUUUUGAGCUCAUACAGAGUCUCAGCUAGUUUGGCUUGGAGCUUGGGAUUGGAGGGCUUGUAUUGGUGUGUUGUACCAACAUUGAAAAGGAAACCAGAGAUGGUAAGAAGAGGGACUUGUGCAGGUGGGACAAGGAGUUAGAUAUGAACUGAAAGUUUCCAACCCUUUUUUGCAUUUGGAGUUCGUUUUGCAUGGCAAUGAAUUUUUUUAUUUUCUUUUUGUGUUUUUGUGCCUUCUCUACCUCCAUCUUUGACCAGAGAUGAGAGGAGGAAGCUGCUGUUCUCUCUCUCUCUCUCUCCCUCUCUCCUUCCCUCUCUCUCUACAUAAUAGGCAUUUAAGUCUCUUGAUACUCUAAUGGCCACACAAUGCUUACACAAUACGGGCAAUGAACUAGACAGUGUUCUGGGAUUCUGUUGAACUCGUUUUUGCUGAAAGUUUCCUGAUCAGAGCUAAUCAAUUCUGUCAAGCAAUGUCUGUAUAAGACUCUUUCUUGAAGCUUUUCUUUUCUUUCUUUUUCAGAUCAUGUUAGUUAAUCACAUGUAGCAUUAAAUGAAGUGCUGGUAGAAUAAUCAUGGAACUGUAGCCACAAGAAAAGAAUAAUCAUGCAACAGCUCAUUUUUCUUCUGCUCCCUUUCUUCUUUUGAAGCCUUUUUAAGGAAUUAAUCAUAUGGCCAAAAGGGGUACCUCAAUUUUUAGUUCCCUAUUUUAUAUUUUGGCUUUCUGUAAUGUUCCUGAAUCAAUUCCCAAAGAGUUUAACCAGGUAGAUUGGCAAUAAUUGAUUUCAUUUUUCCAACCUAAUUUCUGUCAUCCAUUGCUAAGCAGCAUUCUUCCCUGAUCCAACCAAAUCUUAUACAAGGUUAAUGCAUGAAUGCAUGAUAUGCAUCUCCUCAUUAUACUGCACAGGUUAUGGUAAAGUAGGAUGAUGUGUAACAUGUGGUUAAUACCUUAAACAAGUUUAAAUUUUAGGAUAGUAUUUGAUAGGGAAAAAAAUGGAAUUGAUGUGCAUGAGUUUGUAACUUAACCCUAAUUUUUUUUUUCACUUUCUAAUUUUGAAUUAAGAGCGAUAUUGGUUUUUCCAUUCGUUUUCAAUGAAACUGAGAAAUCUGAUGGUUGAAAAUGAUAGAAUCUUUUUAUUACUAGCAAAAACAACUAAAUUGUUCCAUUUAGUUCACUGAGAUUUGUAAUGGAACCAUAAGCAAAUUUAAGACAAUCAUGUAGUUCAUCACGUUUCCUAGCCUGAAAGAUUUUUGAUGAUUUACACUAAUUAAUUAGAUAGACAUACUAUCAUCAUUCAUUAUAUCUCACUUUCAUUACCUUACGAACCCUUGUCCCCUAAUGAAAUUCAACAUUGUGUUAACACACUUGAUAUUGCUUCUGAUGUUUAACUUCUGGCUAGCAGUCCUCAUAAGAUGUUUAUGUUGAAAACCAAAAUCUUGGCCUGCCCAGUGGUAAGAGUGACUGCUGAAGAUUUAAAUUUCAAUCUACCUUCCAACACAUUAGAAACAAAAAAUGGAAAGGAAAAAAGCAAAAAAAAAAAAAAAGGAAAAAAAGAAAGUAGAAGCCAUCCAUCUUGGCCAUCGAGCAACUUCGACAUCAAAGCUUCUAACCUAGCAGAAAAAUUUUCCUUUCAAAAUAAUAAUUCAGACUCCAAGCCCAGUUCAUCAAACCCUAAGGAGUAUUUAAAGCCCUCUAUAGGCACUCAUUUUCUGUCUGGUGCAUUCAAACUACUUGACCCAAGAAGAUCAAACAUUUGGGUACUUAAGAGUGAAGAGCUAAUUAAAAUACAUGCGGAUCCGGAGUAGGGUUACCAGUAACUGCACUCCAACUGGCUCAAUGACAAAUAUACAGCGACGGCCGCGCAAGAGACAAUACUGUUUAAUUAUGAGAAGUUAAUGAUGGUAACCCUAAACCUAACUUGUGCAGGCAACUCAAAGGGAUAGGCUAAGCUGGACUGCGACAACCCCCUCAGGGCCUCCACUUGGUUGCACUCAGAUUUCAGCGUGUCACCUGAAUGAGUUACAAUUGAAGCCCAUACUGCCGUUGCUUAACCUAAUAUGGUAAUCCAGUAUUGGAAAACCAGCUUGAUCUGACAGCUAAAUGAAAUAGACUAACUAAUACUUCUUAAAAAACAAGCAAAAUAAAGAUAGAGAGAGAAGAAGAUAAUUUGGGUAGGUUUAGUUUUCCCUUGGAUUCUCCAAUUAAGUAAAGUGACAAGUACCAUCUCAAAUUUUUUAGCAAAAAAAACAAACAAACAAACAAAGGAAAGACUUGGAGUAACCUAGAGUCUUAGGGAUAUCCUAUAUACCAAUCAUAGAAUGCGAAAAAAGAAAUUGUGUUUUUAUUUUAUUCAUCUAGUCAUCUGUAGUUGGAAUUGCACCAUGGAUGUUGUUGCAUGUUCAUUUAUUGAAGCAUUCUUAAGGGAUUUGUCAUUAUUCAAUGAAAACUUAAAAUAAUUAUUUUAAAACAUAAAAAAUAGUUGAUUUUUUGUAUAUUCGAUUAACCUAAUAGAGCUUAUAUAUUUAUUAUGCUCAUGCAGUGGGAUUUAUGCUUUGGAAGCAUGGAAACUAUUAACGGUGGGAAUCAGGAAGAGAGAAUGUUCCAAUAAAGAUUGUCACUUGGCAGGACCACCAGAGGUCCACAAAUUGGUCCUCACCUCUCUCUAAUCAUCAAAACUAAUAAGGGACGUCAACUCUUUGUGGGUUUUUUCUUUUUCAUAAAAAUUAGAGGCAUUUACAUAUUUGUUUCUCUUCCCAUUCCAAAACAUUGGAUUGUUCGAACUCCAGUUGCUGAAUAUCUAGUCAAAUAAUGGCAAGAAAUACCAAAAUACCCAAAGAGUCGGACCAUUGAAACACCCACAUUAGGCCAUUACCUGGGUCUAGUGCAAUAGACUGAAUACAAGACUAAAUGUGAGAGAAAUUGGGAUUUCAGAAAAAUAAUUAAAGAUGAAUUAAAAUGGAACAAGGGGUUGAUCAGUUAGAGCAAAAGGAGUCAAAAUGUGCUGUUCUCCAGUAGAAGGAAUUCCCAACAGUAUUCUGAAGGAUUUCUUAAUGGUACUUGAACCAGAAAACACAUGUCACCAGAGGUUUCAAAACACGAACCCCAUCUUCCAUUUCAUAUCAAAAGAGAGAGCCAUAGAAAACUCAUCAUGGGCCGAAACAAUUCACUGUUGAGUGACUGUAGCUCUUUCACUCCUUCAAAGGAUCUUUGUCAACCUACAGUCUCGUACCUUUCUCGAAUAUAUCUCGGGAUUGCACCAGAGAGAGAGAAAGAAAGAGAGAGAGAGAGGACAUUGAUAGUGUAGAUCUUUGUAGUAUAUAUAGGCUUGAGCGACACUAAAAAAGUUGUAGCUAACUGUCAAUACUGGAACCUGAGAGAGAGAGAGAGUGUGUGUGUAAUACACUAGGAUAGCCCGCAGUAAAAGUGGACGGCUAUAGACUCAGCUUAUUCAUGCAAAUAACAAAUGAGGGAAUGUUUAAAGCUGCAGCAUGGCUUGGUUUUCAAUUUUAAACUUUGAAUAUUUAUCUUUGUUUUAUCUUCUUGCUCCAGAAUCUGAUAAUUAUAUCCUUUUUUAGCAGCUUUUCCAGUGGUUUUUCUAUCACUAACUCCAUUCCUCAGUUGUUGUUUCAUAAUGAUCUAUGUUCUUUUCCCUUCCCUCUCUCAGGCAUGAAAAAAGAUACUACGACUUUUCCUUUUAUUUCUCUACAACAUUUUUUUUGUUUCGUACUCUUCUCAUUCAAACAUGCAUUAAUUUCUCCAGAGACAAUGCCUGUUUAGGGCGGCCUUUACAUUGUCCCAGCCUUUUCAAAAGGAUAUCUUUAUUUUUUAAUAUAUGUAUAUAAUAUAAAAAUAACUGUACUAAUAAUCAACAUUAAUCAUUUUUCUUUGACAUGAAAAAUGUAAUGAUAAUGGUCCUGUCAUUUUGUCCAACACAAUUUUUGUACUGCAUUUGAGCUCAAAAAAAUUAACAAAAAUAAAACAAAAUCCAAUAAUUCGAAAAAUUGAAUAAUAAGAAUAUUGAUUUUAAUAAGUAUUUAUAACCUUUCAAAUACUUGAAAGAUAAAUAUAUUUUAAAAUUAAUUUAUUAAUACAUGUUAGUUGCUCAAAGGAUGCAUCUAUCUUCUCCGGAAUCAUUUCAAGAUAUCUUAUUUAUAUUUAUUGCUAACUUUGAUACCAAAAUCUCUUUUUUAAAUUGUAUUUGUGCUAAGAAACUGCUUGUUGGGGCUAAAUAAUAGUGAAAAUUUUAUAGGUUGGAGAGGGCUAUAUGAAAAUAGAUUUUGAAGAAAUAAAGUAAUGAAGAAUGCACAGUAUGGAUGGUAGUCUUUCACAGGAAGGGGAAAUUACUUUAACUUUCCUCAAACUAGUACCAUGAUCAGCACAAAUUUAUUUAUAGAUAAAAACCAAGCCCUAAUCCUAGUCUAGAUGUAUGGUUGGUUAAUUGGAUGGUAAAACCCCCUUAGCUAUGGCUUUUUCUCAACCUUUCUGAACAGUUCUUAUUUUCUUAAUAAUCCAAACUUGAAGCAAGUUGAUGUUUCAAUUUGUAUUUGUCACUCCAUAAGAAGCUCGAAGCAAUUGGGAGUCUACAUUAAUAUUGUGAUUAAGGGUGUUUGAUUCUUUUUCUUUUCUUUUCUAUCACAUGCAAAAUACUUGGCUUGUAUAUGACUUUACUAGUUCUGAACUUCUACUGUUAUAUUAGAUUUUUGUAGUUGAAGACGCAUUUAUUGCUUCAAUGUCAUCAUUGAUGACAUCAACCUUCCAUUGCAUUUGCAUAUUAUAAUAACUUUCAUCAUCAAGGUUUUCCCAAAAUGAUGCAUCAUCGCUAAGGUAAGAAGAUGGUUUUGGUAUUUCUACAGCCUACCACGUUCCUCAUUCUUUACAAAAGAGUUUUGAGGAGUAUUUUUAGUAGUUAUAAUCAAUUAAUAAAACACUAUAAAUUGCAUGAUACAGAAACCAAAAGGGUGGUUGGUAGUGUGACACUCCUUGUUGAGACUAAUCUUGUAGAGAAAAAAGUGAAUAUUAAGAUGUGAAGCCUACAAGUGAACCAUAUAUAUCUUCAUGUCAUGCAAAAUCAUCAAGACAUCCAUAAUGUUAGCAUAUCUUACCUACAUGUUUUGUUUCCAUGAUUGCGUGGUUAGAUUAAAGAGAUGGAUGAAAAAGUUCAUGUAACUAAAAAAAUUAUACAUGAGAGAUUAUUACCUUGUUGAUUCUAAGCAGUACUCCAUUAGUGUCAAAUUGAUGUACAAAAUCAAUUACAAGUCAAAUGGAAAAUGAGCUAUUUUAAAACAAGGUUGACAACUAGGGUUAUAAGCAAACAUUAGGUAUUAGUUAUUUUGAAGUAUUUGCACCAGUUGUUAGACCUAACACUAUUUACGUGAUAAUUUCUUUCACUAUUAAAGUUAUUGAAAAGGUUUUACAAAUGGUUUUCGAUAUUAACUUUCUUAAAUGUGACGAAUUAGAAGAUAGGGUUUAUGCUAAACAAUUUAACUAGAGAAAGAUUGAAGAAAGAAAGAACAAAAGAUCCAUACGAUAAAAAAGAAAUGUCUUGUAUGAAUUCAAAUGAGCACCAAGAGUAUGAUAUAGAGGCAUACUUUCUUAUUUUGUUAUGAAUGAAUUUUAAAAAUGUUCAUUUGAAUUUACUUAAUAAGUGAAAUUUAAUUUGCAAGUGAUAUUCUUAUUGUGCAUUUAUGUGUGAAUCAUUGAAUCAUUACUAAUAGUAAUCUGAAAAUUGUUGGAGAAUUUAAAGAAUCAAUGAUUGGAUAUGAUAGACAUAUAUAAGAUGGAUGUGUAAUAUAUGCAAGCAUAUCUUCAUUUUUUUUUCUAAAAAUUAAAUGCAAAUAAUAUUAAAGAAGGAAAAUCUAAGAUGAAAUUAUGUAAGUCGAGUUUAACUUCAAUUAAAGAAACAUUGAAAUAUAACAUAAUCAAACUUAUAUGUUAAUAAAAAAAAAGUUUUCACAUUUGUUGAUAUUAACAAAUAAAUAAAAAAUAAAUUAAAAUAAGAAAAUAAACUAAGAAGAAAAGGCAUAUAAGUAAGAAAAAAAUGAAUUUUACAGGUUAGAUAUUUUUUAAAAUUUAUAAACUUAUUAAAAUCAAACUAUUUUAGUUAUUAUUAUUUUUUAAAAUGGUAAUUAAUACUCAUAUAAAAUAAAAUAUGUUUAAUUGUUUUGAUUAAAAAUGUGAAUAUAUUUAUUCAUUGCAUUAUUGUCGAGUUUGUACUUUCCGUAGUCUUAUUCCCCUUCGAGAUGAGUGGUAAGUUCAUAUUUGUACAGUUUUUUCCUUUAAGUUUUUACACUCCAGUUCAUCCACUUUAGUUUUGCAGUGAUGCAUUAUUGGAGAUUCACAUCCUAGAACAAAAUGCAAUAAUUGAUAAAAAGCAGGUGAAUACUCACAAAUUAUAUUUUAUACAUCUAAAAUGACAUUCCCUAUUGCACACCUUCUGACUCAGUGACAGGAGGGGCUGGACUGUGGAGCCUGGAGGAGGUAUCAAAGCUAAAUGGUAGGGUCAAGACACUGGAGAAGCACUUACACAUUAGCAGGCAUGCAAUAAUAAUGAUCACGCCCCCCCUCCCUUACUAGUCCAGCUUGUGGACAAACCCGGGUUUAGCAAUGGUGGACCAUGUUGAGCCAUCCCCAAAAUGGAAAAAGAUAAAAGUUAAAGCUAUUCUUCCUAGUUUAUGUCACAGGUUUAUGUUGGAUCCCCCCAAAUUUCAGAUCACCUGUGUGGUAACUCUUCCCCCCCCUUCCCCCCCCCCCCCCCCAAACCAAAUUAGGAAUAUGACUCAGAUCAUUUUCCGACCUUUCUUUUUAACAAAACACAAAAUUGUCCUAGAUCCAAAUGGUAUCUUAUUAUUAAUGGCUUGUAUUUGAUAUUAAAACACUUUUAUUGAAAUUGAAACCUUGUUAAUGGCUUAUAGUAAAAUAAAACUUGUUAGUAAGCGGGCCAGCACAUCCAAAUCAGGCAAACCCAAAUAUAGAACCCUAGAGUGUGAAGUGGCAAAGGCCGAUUGGUGUGAGCAGAAAAGGAGAAUGGUGGGGGUUUGUAAGGGGANNNNNNNNNNNNNNNNNNNNNNNNNNNNNNNNNNNNNNNNNNNNNNNNNNNNNNNNNNNNNNNNNNNNNNNNNNNNNNNNNNNNNNNNNNNNNNNNNNNNCCCCCCCCCCCUUAUUAUUCCAGUUUGGGGACAACCCCGGGUUUACCAAUGGGGGCCCAUGUUGACCCUCCCCCAAAAGGGAAAAAGAUAAAAUUUAAAGUUUUUUUUCCUGUUUUUUUUCCCAGGUUUUUUUGGGUCCCCCCCAAAUUUCAGUUCCCCUGUGGGGUAAUUUUUCCCCCCCCUUCCCCCCCCCCCCCCCCGACCCAAACAGGUUAUCAUAUUCUUUUCUUUUUCCUCUUUUUUCAUUUUUCUUUUCUCUGAAGUGAAAAGGAUUAAAGGAGUCUAGUUUUCCCACAGCCCUACUGAUGUAUUGACCCACUUUAUGUAUAGCUGUUACUUUAAAGAUCUUUUCCCACGAAGAAUCUCAUGUUUCAAAAUGGGGGUGGAGUUGCUUUGGCCGCCCCAGCUGCGUCUAGGUAUGGAGGCUUCCACAUAUGAUAAGGUUAAGGCUGAUGAUGACAGCCUAUUUGUUCUGUUUAAAGCUCGGAUGCGGCCUAGUGUGAAUCGAGUUUUGCCCUGCCGCUCUGCCUGUUUUUCUUUCUCACUACAGGACAGUGAUCACAGUUGGCAUCACCACCUCAGGAUAUAUGAAUCAAGAUAAUGAAAAGCUUUUAUAAAUUGUUUCCCAAAUUAGGGUUAUUUAUGUAUUAUAAUUAUAAUCAUGCUAUAUUUAUCCUUGCUUAUUAUUAAUAAAAUGUUUUUUUAAAUUCAAAUUCUUUGAGUGAGAGAAAAUACUUAUUUGAAUUUGAAAUAAAUUACAAAAAAAAUAAUAAAAAAUAAUAAUCAGAUAAUAGUGGGUGAAUCAACUUAUUCAACUUUUCCCACAAAGAUAGGAAUAUUUCUUUCUUUCUCAAUUAAUAUUUUCUAUUGUGCCUCCCUUUCAGGUAGAGAAAGUAACCAGCAAGUGAAGUACCUCCUCCAUUUAUAUCCUUCGUCUAAAAUUUAUCCCCGUUGAGCGAAGGUGCCUUAUUGAUCUGGUCUACCACCAAUCAAUCCCCAGCCACUCGUACAGUGAUGACAGUAGCUUUGCACUGUUAGCUAGCUUUUACCUUAUUUUCCCUUGCUGCUUUUAUUUUCCCCAAACAAAGAACCAACUACUCCUUUAAUUUUCGUCUAUGCGUGCCACCCACCAAACUUUUGCAGUCAUUCCUCAUCAAAGGAAAAAAGAAAAAAAAGAAAGAAAGAAUUGAAAAACAACCCUCCUGAUUAUCUUCCACCCAGCAACAAAUAAUAUAAUGUAAAAGAAGGGAGAAAAAAAGGGAAAAAGAAAAGAAAAGAAGGGAAGAUCUUCACCGACCAAUGGAAAAAGAUCUCCGUGUUAAAACGAAAUUCAAGACGAAAACGACUGUUCAUAUCAACAAAAUCAAUGUGGGUUGCGAGUAGAGAUCACGCGGUGGGGAGGUGUUAGUGGAUGGGUGGAUGUUAUGAAUUAUGAUAAUGCAGAAGAGAGGUAUAUUUUGUAUUGUUUAUUGGUUUUGUUUACUUGUGGGCUUAGUUCUCCUGCUGACUAAUGUAACAUCUUUGUCACCACCAUGUAUGCAUGUCCCGCCUUGUCUUUCUCUAUCUCUCUCCAUCUGUGAAUAAGGUACGGCUUGAUACACAGCAGAGGGCAGAUGUGUUGGCUGAAGUUUCAUGUAAAAGUGUGUCUUUUAUGAAAUAGACGUGGGCAUUGAUGGGUUGGUGCAUGAGAAGUACGUUGAGAAGCGUGAUUAUAUGGAAUCAGCUAUACAAACAUGUUUCUCUGCAUGCAUGCCCUGUGCAUUUCGUAUAUAACCUGGGGAUACCUCUGUGUUUUUGUGUUUGUGUCUGUGUGGGGAUGUAGGUCACCUGUUUCCAGUACCAACAACAAUGUUUUGGUCUCUUCUCCCCCCUCCCCUUACAAACCCCCACCCUUCUCCUUUUCUGCUCACACCAAUCGGCCUUUGCCACUUCACACUCUAGGGUUCUAUAUUUGGGUUUGCCUGAUUUUGCUGGGCUGGGCCGCAUACUGGAAAGUUUUAUUCUACUAUAUGCCUAUAACAAGGUUUCAAUUUCAAUAAUUGUGUUUUAAUAUCAAAUACAAGCCAUUAAUAAUAAGAUACCAUUUGGGUUUAGGACAAUUUUUUUUUUUCUUUUAAAGCCUGGUCAUUGUUUUAUCUUAGUCAUAUUCUUAAUUUUAUAUGGGUAUAAAUAAGGGAGUUUGAAUAAGGGUAUUAUGAUGUCUGUAUGGUUCAAAGAUGGACCCAUUUGUAUGAAUAGGGUUGAACUGUAACUAACUAUUAGUUUCUUCCUAUCAUCUACAUGUAUAUACUUUUGUGUUUGGCAGAGAAGUACUGUUAAUUUAUGGUACUUCUGCGACUCUAAAAUAAGGGUUUGGAGUAACAAAUUGAUCUGAAUCCCUUCCCAAUACUAUAUUUAGGUUCAUGUAGUACAACUUUUUCAUCACUUGAAAGAAUUCCAUUGACUGUUAGUUGAUAACGGUUCAAAUGCCACCUGAAGUUCUCUACAGUAAGAGGGAUUCUUGUUUCUUUAAAAGGAGUUUAUGGUAAAAUGCUUCGGAUUCAACGUUUCUUGUAUACCAAAUAUACAUUGUUAAAUCCUUUUGGACCGAUUGCUUAUUUAAUAUGGUUUCAGAGUCUAUAAAAGUUAAAAGUCCCCUGUCCCUUUCGGCAUUUAUUUGUUCAUAUUUCAUCACCGGGCACAGCCCAAUAGGAGAAGGUGUUAGCAUGUCAAAUAUUUAUGGACCUGUUAUUUACAAGUUGAAGUUUUGACUUGUAAUCCAGAAUAUCAUACACCCCAGAAAUUUUCCCACAUUUUUUGCAUUUAAAAAGCGUAUAAUUAGCAGAGCUGUGUAGUCUGUUGAUUUGAGUUACAUGAACAUUCUUUCCCAACUCAAGGAAACAUAUUGAACAGUAAUUGUAGGACAGGAACGGGCAUUUGGUGCAUUUUUACAUGAAGGGGCAAUUUCAAUUCUUAAUAGAAAACCGAAAAAAAUUACCAAUAAAAUGCAUCUUCUAACACAUCAGAGAACUUUCUAGACAACAGAAGAGUGCAUUAGGAAUGCCAGGACUGAAUUCAGAGCUCAAUCCAUCCAUUUUAGCCCUUUGGAGACUGCCCUUCCUCUAGCUUCCAUGGUCCAAAUGUAAUAUUUGCCAGCUCAGCAGCUGCACGGGCAGCAGCUGAUGCACGGUCUGCAGAGGCAAUAGCAGCUCGAGCUCUCUCCAAGAUGUCAGAUGAUUGUGAUCUUGUCUCCUUAGAAUCACUUACUUGUCCUGCAUUGUAACUCUUAAUCGAAUGUUCAACUUCAUCAGGACUAGACAAUGACUUCUUGCUGGCCGUGUUGGGAGAGUGAAGGGCUUGGAUUCCCUGUUGAAUAGUCCUACUCGAAAUAACAUUUGGCUCACUGGUAGGUGGACAUUGGAGAGAGCUUUGUAUGGAGGGAGCUUGAGAAAUUGCACCUCCACUGCAUACUUGCUUUGAACCAUCCUACAGACAACAUCCAUUUGAUGAAGAUAAUAAAGCAAUCAAUACCAAUGUUUAAUAGAAGCUUGUUAGAAUGGGCAAGCAGUUCACCAUUAUCACAACUACAACUAAUAUAGAAUUGUAUGACGACAUAUAUCAGUUGACAUGCAGCAAUAAUGCUAAGAUCUGUGUUCAAUUCCAACUUACACACGCACACAGAGAUCAGGAGAAAUGUAUCACUACUUCAACUUCAUUGUAAUUGAUGAAGGGGUAAGUGGAAGGAGGUUUUUCCUCCACUAAAGACCAUUAGAUCAAUAAUCCCUGCAUGCUAAAACUUCUCGCUUUUCUUCUUUGGCUGAAAAGGAGAUUUAGGCUUGACCAUUUAUUGCAUACAACACACAACAGUAAUAACAAUAGAAAAUUUCAAAUAGCGCUCAUACUUCUAUAUGAUCCAUGUUUUCCCUUUGGACCAUAUCUAGCACACAUCCGACCUAGCUAUCAGCAAGGCUAAAACAAUUAUCAUGAUGAGAAUGACUUUGACCCAACUUUUUUUUUUUUUCAUGUUUUUUAAGAUGGUGGGAAAUCUAUGAAAAAAGCAAUGGCAAUCAAAAUUUAGAAUGUGCAGAAUCAAUCCAUCAUGAUGAUAUUAGGAAUUAACUUACCUAACAAAACCACAGCAACUAUGAUAUUAGUGUCUGGUUAUGAAACAAAUAACAUCAGAAAAUUCAACAAGACCUAAAUCAAAGAAAGGAAGCAGGGAAGAAGAGGAAAAAAAACAGCAUUGGAAAAAUACCAGCAAGUCCUCGUGUUUUUUGCUGAAUUCUGCUUCAGUGUUAGAAGAAUCCCAUUCCAGAUUGUACUCCUGAGCGAUUUCCUUCAAUUGCUUUAGCUUUGCUUCUCCAGUUGGAGUGCUUACUGAAAGCUUUUCUAUUAUCUGUAAAAAAGCAGAAAUAAUCAAAAUGGAUCAAGUUAGAAUGCCAUUCCUGCAGACAAAUCAGGAGGCAAAAAAUUCUAGAAAUGCUUGAGCAGUUAACUGCACGGUUGACGCUUGUAUCAGGACGCAGCUCAGAGGCAGCCAAUAUGAACUCCUUCCCAUAUUUUGCAGCAAACAAGUUCUUGAUCUGCAAUAAAUCUGGCACAUCUGAGCAUCUGGGAGCAGCAAAAAUUAUACUAGCAACAGCUUCUCGCAAUUCUGUAGGGCACUCCCUGUUAUGAGGAAAGAGACAGUCACAACAUUGAGCUGCAUAAAUCUUAUUAAAACCAAGUUUUGGGCUUGCACAUACUUUUCUACAAAAAUAUAUUCUGAAAUGCCACCUGAUCAAUGCCAACCAGAAUAUCCUUCAAACUUACAAUGUUAUCAGACUUGUGCUCACAAUAUUUACAACCACGAUGAAAAAGCAAGGGGGGAACAGCCUUACUUGAGAUUUUAAAAUGGGCGCAGAACAUUGCCCUAGGAAGUAUGUAUAUAGUUAUUCAAAAAGUGUUAUGAAUAUUGGGAAAGCAGCUCUAGAGUAUAGCUUCUAUGCAUCCCAAAUAAACUUCAUUACAUAAUGGUGCUGAAUUAUCAUUUAAAAAAAAUACUUAUUCUGCAACAUUGUUUUUGGGCACUUGUGAUUCUGUUUAAGAAUGAUAACUGAUCUAUAUGAAACUGUGUUUUUGAAAAAAGGUAAAAUAAAAUAAAACUAUCAGAAAAUCACCUAACCUUGAGCUCUUUCACAAAGAGAAAUAUUUGCUGAUUUUACUCCAUAUUAGUAUGUGGAAAUGUAAAAGCAUGCAUGCCAGUUUUUAUGUUUCAACCUCACUUGUUUCUCUUAUCAAGACACUCUUUACCUUCUUCCUAGCAAUGGUUAGGAUGAAAAAUGCUAUGAGCAGUAACAGUUAGAGAUGCCAACCGAAGUCAUGAGACGCUCACAUAAUGUCAAAGGAAGCAACUUUUGUGUAAAAGGAAACAUGAAAUAGCAAAACUCUUAACAGCUAUAGCAAGAACAAAGGAAAGGAAAUAUGUAACAGCAGCUUUUGGGGCAAGUCCAGUGGCCAGCCUCUCCAUAAUUAGGGAUUGUAAUUCAGAGUGGAUAACUUUUGCAGCUUGAGAGCUAAUUAUCAGCAGGAUGGUGGACAUUGAAUAGUCCUACUCUUAAGAAUAGAACCAUGGCAAAAAGGAGCAUGCAAAUAGAUGAUGGGAAAGUAAAUAUGAGGUACAGGCAUACAAAGAUGCUUUAUGACAUAAAUAGAGACAACAAAUUGAAUGAAUAUUGAAUGACAUCAGAAAUUCAAAAAUAACAUUUCUCCCUAUGGUAGAAAAAAUCUACUGAGAUUUUUUUUUUUUUUCUUAUAUUUUCAAGUAAAUGCAUACAUGUACAGCCAAAGGUUUCAAAACCCUUAUAACUACAUCUACUUCAAUAUGAAUAGUGUGUUUAGUUUCUGCGAAUGGUGAAGUUUGCUUACCAAAUAGUUUUAUAAAUUCAACUUAUAAUACAAUAUGUAGUAGCACAUAUAAUGACAUUUAAUUAUAGUAUAUGAAAGUUUAAAUAUGUUAGAGCUCGGAGGGAAACUGCUUAUACCGCAUAUCCAUGUCUACAACCAAAAAAUGUGAGAAAACAAAAAAAAAAUCAUCACUUUAUCAGAAACCUCAGCAAGACAUAUGGUCCCAUAGAGCUUAGGGUGUCAAAUCUCAUGAAAGACAAAGAAUGUCAAAUGUUAUCUUCAAUGAACAACACAAUCCUGGUAAUCAAUGGAUUUACCUCUGAGUUUCAAGAAUAGGAACACGUGCGAGAACAAAUUCACAAAACAGCUCCAGAAUCUCAUAUGCAGCCCAUAUGUUUUGUUCUCGUAUAACAUGCUCCACCUAAGAAAGAUAUGCACAAAUGGUAAACAAGACAAUCAGAUUUUGAAAGAGAAUCCCAGUUAAUUGAAGUCAAUAUCAUGAAGUUGAAGGGGUACCCGUAUUCGAGCUAUUGCUUCUUGGCCUGUCUGCAGAAAUUGAGCUAUCUCCUUGCGCAUCUGUUUAAGAUGCAAACUUCUCUUGUUUUGCAGCAAUUUAAUGCGAGAGAUUGCCAAAUUCAAGCACGUUUUGCUACAAAACCACCCACAAAUUUUAAAAUACACAGACAAACAUAUUUUGAUAUGCAUUCACUCAAUUUUAGAGCAGAAAAUUGCAAAUUUUUUCGUUAAUUUAAAUGUUGAAAUUUAAAACAAUCAAUUUUGACAAUUUACUCGACAUUGUGACCACCUUUCUGGAGACGUUAGAAUUCCAAUUAAAGCAAAUUUCAAAAAUAAAGUAUGCAUAAAGAAUUGAGAUUUUUGCCAAAAUCGCUAAUGGGUAUCUGGUGGAAAUGAGCCUCUCUCAGAAAUGCCAAAAUUUUACAUGGAUUUGAAAGUUAAAGACACUAUAAAUUAAUUUACAAAAAUUAUUAGCAGAUAACAGAAAUUGAACUAUAAUAAAACGAAAAUCCACAAAUCAAGUUCUUAAAUCUUCUCCAUCAGAUACAGUUCCAUUCAGUUUCCAAGAAAAAGGUGGGAACAGAAAAUAAACAAAAAUUUUCAACCUUAGAUCUGCCACUACUUUGGAACUCAGAAAACAAAAACCUCAGCUCAACUAAACCUAAUACCAAUAUUUGGGUUGGCUUUGAUGAAUUUUUUCAUUUCCUGAAAACCAGAAAUACAGAAUUUCAUCCAUUUGUUUUCCUUGGUUUCCUGGCAAUCAAAAGGAAGGUGAAAGAAAGGAAAAUUAAAAUGAGAGAAAAGGGAAAUACAACUGACCAUUUCGCGCCAAGAAUUCCUCUGUUGAAGAGCUGAUUCAGGAGUGACAUCGAAGCGUCUGUAUGUAAUUCAAGAUCGAUCCUUCUGUGUAUGAUCGAUCUCUAUGGAAGGGGGGGUCAGCCUCAGCAUACGAUACAGUCGCUUUGCGAGUAAAAAUGCCUUUUGGCGUCUUUUUCACAAAUUAGAAAAACGCGUUUCGAGGCGAAAACAAGUUUUGGCUUCCGUCUCAAGCGGUCAAGCCCGUUUCGACUCCACUACAAACGACGUCGCAUAACUCCCUCGUCAGUUUCUCCGUUCUUCCCUUCUAGUGAAGCACAAGCAUUGAACUUUCUCCGUUGGGCCGCUCCUCUGCCUGUGGAACAAGAGUUUCUCCGUCCUUAAAAGCAACAUCGUAUUCAUAUCCAUCACCGUCCCAUGUGGACCUCUCCUUCUUCUUUGGCUCUCUGCAACUUGAAAGCCUAUAUUAAGAAAUAUACAACUUACAACUUGCAAGAACACCACGGUGCCUGUUUUUGCAAACAACCAAUACUUCGAAAUUUGUUUUUCGAGUUUUGUUUUUUUUUUUUUUUUUAAUAAAACAUAGUAUUUUCGAAAAUAGAUUAAAAAAAACAGUUUUUUUUUGUAAUAUUUUAUACAUCAAAAAUCUAUUUCAAAAUAUAAAUGUUUUCAGUCUGUUUUUAAUACUUUUAAGCAUAUUUUUAAAAAUAAUUUUUAUAUUUAAGAUUUCAUUUUUAAUUAUUCCUUAUGUUUUAUAUAAUUAUUUUUUAAAAUAAAAACAACGAAAAAUAAUUAAAAAAUAUUGUCAAAAAUACUUUAUUUUUUACUUUUAAAAAUAAAAAAAUAAAAAACAAUUUUUUAGUUACCAAACAUCUUUUCACAUUUCUUUGUUUCGAAACACAGAAAACUGUCGUAACUAAACAAAGCCUUCUUUUCAUAAUUUUUUUGUAGCCAAACACGCACGUAGUCUCACUGCUCAACUCCUUUGCUCCAUAGCAGCCAGCAAAAGGAAAUGAAAAAACGCAACUCAAACGGACAACCUGCGAGAUGCUAUUCAUUUGCUGGAAAGAAGUAACUGAAGAAAGAACUGUGCGAAAAAAGACGCAUGUCUGUGCACAGUUGUAUUGUUUAAUUUCCCAGUUAGCUGCAUAACAUUCACAGAAAAAAAUUCCUUUUUAUUGAGAAAUACAGCCAGUUCCUGGGUUGGGAGUUUACAAGGGCUCAAUAAAAGCCAAAGGCAAAGGAAUGAAAGAUUUGGAACAUCACAUCUUUAGGGAUUCAAGCUACACUGGACUAAGGAAUAAAAAAUCUGAAUCAGUUUUCCCCUCCAGAUGAGGGAACUUUGAUGUUAAGGGAGCCUCUAUUUAAGGAGCAGUGGGAAUCAAGCCAUGCAAUAAUAUCUCUGAGGACUGUAAAUAUUCUAUCAUCAGGUUCCCCUUCCAGAAUGCAGUGAUAACCUUCUUCAUAAAGCUUCAAGGUUUUAUCUUUACUAGAAGCCUUCUCAUAAAGGAACUGGCUCACUAGUGGAUCCGUCACCUUAUCUGCAGCUCCAUGAAGAAUCAGCAAUGGCGAUGAAACCUGCAAUACCUCUAAAAAUAGUAAUUCUUUGUCCAAAUGAGAAAAGAAAAGAAAAAUGAAUGUAUGCAUAACUGAGGUAAUAAGCAUGCAAUAAUUCUUUCUUCUGGAGAAACUGACCUUCUCCAAUUGCAUCUCAAUAUCACUUGUGGCCUCUAACAGCUCCACAGCAGUCCUUAGUCGCAUUUGAUCAUUGUACGAGAUCACAUUGUAGGCAGCCUAACAUAAAAGAAAGGAAGAACUAUAAUUCAUGUCUUUUUAACCCAGAAAUCUAAAACUCGACAACUAAAUCAAACCAGUGAACUUGUGGUUUUUGGUUUUGCCUGAAUCUAGAGGCAGCUUCUUCUGGUUGUCAGUUGCCAUGAGUUUUUUGCCAUUGCCUUUUCCAUCAUUACAACAGGAACUAACUUUUUUGGGACUUUGGGGAGUUGUCAUCCAUUUGUAAAGAGAGAAGAGAAGUCAACAAUACAAAAGUAACUUUUAAUUGUAGCAGCAUGUUAAGAGUGGGAGGACAGAGAACUUGAUAAAUGAAACAUAUAAAACUAGGGAGUUUUACUAUGAGGAUCAUAGAUUUAAAAGUGCUAGUGAUAGUAUGAUGAUGGUUAUUGUCCAUGAGGUGAUCAAUCCAAUUAGGAUUACCAGUUGAUCAAGGCAUAACUAGCAUAAAGGUAUGAGAAGUUCUGAGUGAUAAUGGAGUUCAACCUAUCUCCUGGGAAGCCUCAGCCCAAGUAUGUCAGGUGAUAUCCAACAAACUUUACCGACAGUUUAAAGGAAUGCGGCAAGCUUGUGAAGAAGAAUCUAUUAGAAAGAAUGGAAUAAGAUCUGUUUAAGAUAGGUGAUGCUCUAUUUUCUGAACAGAUGGCUUGAAUCACUUCUCUGGAUGCACAAAAGCAUAAAUUCCACAGAUUGUAUAUAGACAAGUCAUGUCUCCGAGUCUAUCCGAAAGGCAAUUUGGAGCAACUAUUUGGAAAUCUAAUCAUUUCUCAUCAAUGGCUUCUCUGGUGAAUAUCAAAACAGGAUCUGUCUAAACACAAUAGGAGUUAUUUGAACUCUUCAUUUAAACCAUAAACUCAUUGAAAAAAAAUAAAAAAUGAAUCUUCUUCUCAAUUUUGAAGAGUGUUGUUUCCUUAACAAGUGGGCUGGAGCAAAUACAAACAUAAAUUCUUUAUGAAGUAGCAAGGAGUAAAUAUAAUCAAUGAAUAAUUAGCUAAAGAAACAAAAAUAUCUCCUGAUAGAUGAGAGUCUUCUACCAAUUAACUUAGCCCAUUAGACAUAAAACUUUGGUCAACCAUGUUCUACAUGCCAAGGACAUAUAGGAUUAUGUACUUAACCAAAGAAUUAAAUUUAAGUGCAAUCCCUCUGCUCUCAUCCAGUUUAUUGUUGACAACUAGCAAGCUCACAGAGGGCUUGAUCCUUUUAUUUUUUUCACUUCUCCCCUUUUUCUUGCCCUAGGCUGAGGUGCUUUACAAGUUUUGAUCACAACAGAGGCUUAUUACACCUCUGAAUGUGAAAGAUGUGUAAGUGGCUCUCUAGACCAUAUUGAUGUAAAGUACCAGCUCCUUCUGCCAUUACAAUGCCAUGCAAGCGCACAAAUGUCAAAAAGAGUAGACACAGAACGAACCAUUUUCCUUUUCCUCGAAUCUCUGAAUGCUAGCUCAGCUAGAUCUUUCUGUGGGAAAAGCUUGGCCUUGGGCAUAGCUUUAGACAACAGAGUCAAUACCUUCAGCACUGCUGGUGGGGGUGUCACAUCUUCUGCAAUCUUGGCACAACUCAGAGUCAGCAAGUUUUUCUUUGGCUAAGCGAAAGUUUAUUGCUUCAUAUACAAAAAUUGAAUCAUAAAACUUGGCUGAAGCAGGGAAUAGAAAAACUCAAUCUUAGUGUUAAUUCAUUUUAUAGAGGGGAAGACAGCAAUAUGAUUGUCAUCCUCUCACCAUCAUGUGGUAAAAUGUAAAGGAACAAGCAUAACAUAUUUUUUGAGCAUUAAAAAAAAAAAAAAAAAAGGAAAAUUCAUGUGGUGCAGGAUUUAUACUACACUGGAGUUAACCGAAUUGAUGUGGUAAAAUGUAUUGGAACAUGCAUACCACAUUUGAUGAACGUUAAGAAAAUCAGAAAAUCCACGUGGUGCAGGAUUUUAUAAUACACUGGAGUAGUUGAAUUGAUGUGGAUCUUCCAUAAGCUGAUUUUUCAGGUUGCUCUCUCCUGAAGGCACUUCUACAUAAGAUCUCUCAACCUCAUAUCAAAACCUUAUUUCAGGUAUUUGUUCCCUUAAAAUAAAAACUGUGUUUUUUUUCAGCAUAUGGAUAUAAAGAUGGAUGAUUUUAUAUUGGUGCGUUAUGCUAUAAGAAAGAAAAUUGCUUCACAAUCCCUGUUUUUCACCGUAGAGCACUAUUGAAACAACAAACAUGCCACAUUUUAUUUAUCUUUUGAUAAGCUAACAUGUCAUAUGCUAAAUUCUUAAUACUCAGGACAUGCAUGACCUAGAGCAAGUGAAACUGAGAUUUAUCUAUCUAUAAUUCCAUGUUUUGAGCCACCACAAGUCUGUUUUUCAAAUCAAGAAGAAAUGAACUUUUCAAACAAAGAGAUUCAUAUGAGUUCAUUGGGGAAGAAAAAUCCAAAUAAAACAUUUCCAUAUAAUUAGAUUUUCAUAAGAUGAUCACAAAAAUAUCAAGCUUUGUCAUCAAAUGUUUUGCAAUCAAGUAACAGCAUAUCCAUAAUAUGAGCACUCUGCAGAGAUCAGUAUGAUCGAUGAAUGGGCGGCAAAACCCAAAAAGGAACAAUUUGGAAAUAAAUGCUCCUGCAAGUACUUAAAAGUCACCACCAAUACCUAACAGGACCAAGGAAAGCCAACUGAGAUGACCCAACCAUGAGCAAUUAAUAAAUCAUUGCCCCAAUAGGUAUGAAUGAUAUGGUUCAAAUAGAUAAGCCAUACAAGUGCAAGAAAAAAUGAAAUAGACAUGGCUUUGUUAAAUUUGAUUAUUUUUGUUAGAGCAUGAUGCACAUUGUUAUUGCAGCUACUGCAGUCUGUGCCUUGAGCCGCCUACUUGUGGGUAUGAAGCCACAUAUGAGGGGGGCGAUAGAGUAUGACAUACAUUAUAGGUCCAAAUCAUAAUAGCUUAAGCCUGUAGAGAAUUUGACAACUUGAUGAUU
rnacentral:lncRNA from 1 species